UACAGAGGGUGCGAGCGUUGUCCGGAAUCACUGGGCGUAAAGGGCGCGUAGGUGGUGGCUUAAGCGUGCGGUGAAAGCUCGGAGCUCAACUCCGAGUCGGCCGUGCGAACUGGGCUCACUGGAGCAUAGUAGAGGCAGGUGGAAUUCCGGGUGUAGCGGUGGAAUGCGUAGAGAUCCGGAAGAACACCGGUGGCGAAGGCGGCCUGCUGGGCUAUGGGCUGACACUGAGGCGCGACAGCGUGGGGAGCAAACAGGG
rnacentral:rRNA from 1 species